GUUGGCAGUUUGAUGAUUUAGUUGGUGCUCAUAUGGACAGGUUUUGGGGGCUCAGCUGGGCUCUGUGCAUUAUGUGUGACUAGUUAUCCAGGUGACCUGUCUUAUGGAGGUUGUGUGGCUGUCAGCUGAGGCACUUCAACUGUCUUUCCCGAGGUCUUUCAUACUUUAGCAGGCCGGCCUUUUGUGGUGCAGUCAGGCAACCAAGAAAGAGAACAAAAGACUAGGAGGAGUCUGGCAGCCUAAACUUGGAACUGUACUCCAUCACCUCUUCUGCAUCUUACCAGGCAAAGAAAGUCUACAAAGGCAGCCCAACUUAAAGGACCUGGAUGUAGGUCCACAUCCUGAUGGAUGGAGCUGCAAAACCACACUGAGAAGCUUGUGGAUAUGGAAUCGGGCCCAUUUGUGUAAUCACCCUACCACAAUCUUCCCUCUGGUCAAAAUUAUUCACAUCCCUCUACAUGCAAACUAUACUCAACCCCUCUGAAGACCCUCAAAAUUCUUACUCAAUUAUGUCAUAAGGCUCAGAAUCUAGGGUCUUGUAAUAUACAUAAAACCCAGACGUAGCACUUCUUGAUCUGGAGACCUGAUGAACAAAAAAGAAGGUGAUCUGUCUUCCCCACACACAACAUACAAUGAUGAAACAGGGAUAGGAUAGCAUAAUAGCAGUAAAUACUCACAUUUGAAACAGACUAGCACUGACCCACAGUAACUGUGACAUCCUUCUCGGCAGAAAUGUUGCCCUCUGGGAGAGGAGUGCUCCUUGAUUAGACCAUGGUCCCGCUCCCUGGAAAUGCUGCCCUAGUUGACUGUUGUCCACAACUCUUGGCUCUGCUCUCUGGGCUCUUGGUUCUACUCUCUGAGACAUGCUUUCUUCUCUGUCACCCUCCACAGCAACUUCUGAAGAAAUUAUCUAUGGUGCUUGCUCAAGAGUCUUCUCAGCCUGCUUCUUGGCCAUAGAAAGCCAUCCAGAAGGGCACCUGCAGGGGACUGAUGAGGUGCUGCGAGCCCAGCUCAGCAGGAAAUCCCAGCGUGCAAGCACAUUCAGAGGCUGGAAAUCAUCCUUAAUUGUACUGGACAGAAGAACAGCCCUGGAAAAUGGGCAUUGCAUGAGAAGAUUCUGUGCCGUCAUGGAAAGGAAAAACCCGGUGUUAGAGCUACCAGCAUUCUGGAAAUUGACUCUUUUCUUUCAUUCUUUCUUUUUUAAUAGCGAACAGUUGAGAGAAAGCUUUUAACAUUUUAAAUAUCCUUUAACUAUGGCUAUUUAUUUCUGUGAACUGAUUUACAUAUAAUUAGAAUACCUACAGGUUCUGAGGGAAAAUACAUCACAUUCCAAGCUAUAGAAAUACAAUGUUGGAGGCUUUUCAGGGAAUAGAG